rnacentral:rRNA from 1 species
UACGUAGGGUGCGAGCGUUAAUCGGAUUUACUGGGCGUAAAGCGUGCGCAGGCGGCCCGUUAAGACAGGUGUGAAAUCCCUGGGCUCAACCUAGGAAUUGCGCUUGUGACUGGCGGGCUCGAGUACGGUAGAGGGGGGUGGAAUUCCUGGUGUAGCAGUGAAAUGCGUAGAUAUCGGGAGGAACACCAGUAGCGAAGGCAGCCCCCUGGGCCUGUACUGACGCUCAUGCACGAAAGCGUGGGGAGCAAACAGG